rnacentral:rRNA from 1 species
CUACGGAGGGUGCAAGCGUUACUCGGAAUCACUGGGCGUAAAGCGCGCGCAGGCGGCUAUUUAAGUUGGAUGUGAAAGCCUACGGCUCAACCGUAGAACUGCAUCCAAAACUAUUUAGCUAGAGUGUGAGAGAGGAAGAUGGAAUUAGUUGUGUAGGGGUAAAAUCCGUAGAGAUAACUAGGAAUACCAAAAGCGAAGGCAAUCUUCUGGAACACUACUGACGCUGAGGCGCGAAAGCGUGGGGAGCAAACAGGAUUAGAAACCCCAGUAGUCC